rnacentral:rRNA from 1 species
GAUGAACGCUGACAGAAUGCUUAACACAUGCAAGUCGAUGGGGAGGUGGUGCUUGCACCAUGGCAACCAUGGCGGACGGGUGAGUAACGCGUAAGGGACUUACCUGCAGGACUGGGAUAACAGGGGGAAACUCCUGACAAGACCGGAUAAUGUCAUGGAGCUGCAUGGCUUUAUGAUGAAAGGAGACGCCUGCGGAGAGCCUUGCGUCCUAUUAGCUAGUUGGUGAGGUAAUGGCUCACCAAGGCGAAGAUAGGUAGCCGGCCUGAGAGGGUGGACGGCCACAAGGGGACUGAGAUACGGCCCUUACUCCUACGGGAGGAAGCAGUGGAGAAUAUUGGACAAUGGGGGCAACCCUGAUCCAGCAAUUCUGUGUGCACGAAGAAGGUUUUCGGAUUGUAAAGUGCUUUCAGCAGGGAAGAAGUAAGUGACGGUACCUGCAGAAGAAGCGACGGCUAAAUACGUG